CAUAGAAUCAGUCUUAAAAAGUGUUUCAUAACUAUAAUAUCGUUCUCUACUGAACAUUAUUUUCUUCGAGUUUCUAAAUUUUCCAAUUAUUAAAAGUGUUGAAGGUAUCAGAUGAAAAAUGGAGUUUGAUUGGGUAAUCAGCUUACUUGUGGGCUGCGUUGUUGGUUAUUUAAUUGGCUUACAUUAUUAAGGUUACGGUAAAGCCAGCAGAGGAAAAAUAAGUAAAUGGAAUAAGGGUUGACGACGUUGCUCACUUUCAAAUUGUGUUGUGUAAGCUCAGUUUUUCUAUCAGAGGACGCUCGAUGAUGAGUCAUAUCAUAUCGUACGGUUUGGGCUUGAUAACGGGUUUGAUGCUGUGUAAACGUUGUGGCCCACCCUAGCAACAAAAUUUUUCAUGUUGCAAUGGGAGGAACGAAAUCUUUGCGUGCAGUGAAUACAAUAGACCAUGAGCUUUGUAUGAAAUGGAUAUUUAAAAUAUAACCAGCAAACAUGUUAAUAAAUUAUUAACCAUAAA